rnacentral:misc_RNA from 1 species
GAGAAGAACGCAGCGAAAUGCGAUACGUAAUGUGAAUUGCAGAAUUCAGUGAAUCAUCGAAUCUUUGAACGCAUAUUGCGCUCUCUGGUAUUCCGGAGAGCAUGCUUGUUUGAGUAUCAGUAAACACCUCAACUUCCAUAUCUUUUUUUGAAAUGGGAGUUGGACUUGAGUGAUCCCAACGCUUUUCCUCACCGAAAAGUGGCGGGUUACUUGAAAUGCAGGUGCAGCUGGACUUUUCUCUGAGCUAUAAGCAUAUCUAUUUAGUCUGCCUAAAAAACAGAUUAUUACCUUUGCUGCAGCUAACAUAAAGGAGAUUAGUUCUUGUGCUGACUGAUGCAGGAUUCACAAAGACAGCUUCGGCCGACUUUGUAAACUCGAUCUCAAAUCAAGUAAGACUACCCGCUGAACUUAAGCAUAUCAAUAAGCGGAGGA